rnacentral:lncRNA from 1 species
GACUGACAUAAACGCAGUUAUUUAAGAAUAAGUAUGAAACCUUUGAAAUUUAGAAAGGUUUAGUUAGUACAUACCGUUGGAUUUCAGCUCAUUUAAACAGUUUGUAUCUGAAAGGAUGUUUAACAAAUGCACGUGCAACAGUUUGAUUUUACUGGCAACAUGUCUUGGGGCUUUGUCCGAACGGCCAGGAAAUAAUAUAUGUGCUGCUGGAGGACGCUGUAAGUCUGGAAGACUGUGGCUGCGGAGAGCAAUGCAUUGAUGUGUCGGACCUUAAACUGUGCCACAGUAAACACUGUCAGUGUUUGCCAGGUUGUGUUGUUGGAGAAAUUUUCAUUCCUUCGGGAGUAACUCGGCCAGAAACAUAUUGUAACUCUUGUGGCUGUCCAAGCCGUCCCGACAAUGGAAGAAGAAUGUGGUGCACACUUGCACAAUGGUGCAACCUACCUCAGAAUGUACCGUUAUUCAAGGAAAACCCAGCAUGUCACGGACAGCAGGAUGAACAAACACAAGAAUAAUUUCUCUAAAUGAUACAUGGAUUUAUGGACUCUUUUAGUAAAAGUAUCUGAAGUCAAUAAAUAUAUAUGCAGUUGA